AGCGAACUUCCUUGUCGGGUAAGUUCCGCCCCGCACGAAAGGCGUAACGAUUUUGGCACUGUCUCAACAACAGACUCGGUGCAAUUGUAAUUCCGGUGAAGAUGCCUGAUACCUGCGACAGGACGGAAAGACCACAUGCAGCUUUACUGUAGCUUGACAUUGGGUCUUGGUACUACAUGUACAGGAUAGGUGGGAGGCUUUGAAUCCAGGACGCCAGUUUUGGCGGAGCCAUCCUUGGGAUACCACCCUUGGAGUACUGGGACUCUAACCAUAGGCCAUGACUCUGGUCUUGGGACACUGUCAGGUGGGCAGUUUGACUGUUUCGGUCUCUUCCGUGUCGGUAACUGUGGCGCGCAGCGGUAGUCUGUGUAGGGUCGG
rnacentral:rRNA from 1 species